UUCGAGUGGCGGACGGGUGAGUAACGCGUGGGUAACCUGCCUUACACAGGGGGAUAACACCUGGAAACAGGUGCUAAUACCGCAUAAGCGCACAGGGCCGCAUGGCCCGGUGUGAAAAACUCCGGUGGUGUAAGAUAGACCCGCGUCUGAUUAGCUUGUUGGCGGGGUAGGGGCCCACCAAGGCGACGAUCAGUAGCCGGCCUGAGAGGGUGGACGGCCACAUUGGGACUGAGACACGGCCCAGACUCCUACGGAAGGCAGCAG
rnacentral:rRNA from 1 species